rnacentral:tRNA from 1 species
GCACCUGUGGCUCAAAGGAGUAGGGCACCGACCUCAUAAGCCGGAGGUGGCAGGUUCAAACCCAGAUGCA